UACGUAGGGGGCUAGCGUUGUCCGGAAUCAUUGGGCGUAAAGCGCGUGUAGGCGGCCCGGUAAGUCCGCUGUGAAAGUCGGGGGCUCAACCCUCGGAUGCCGGUGGAUACUGUCGGGCUCGAGUACGGAAGAGGCGAGUGGAAUUCCUGGUGUAGCGGUGAAAUGCGUAGAUAUUGGGAGGAACACCAGUGGCGAAGGCGGCUCACUGGACCGGAACUGACGCUGAGGCGCGAAAGCGUGGGGAGCAAACAGG
rnacentral:rRNA from 1 species